CCUACGGUGGGCAGCAGUGGGGAAUAUUGGACAAUGGGCGAAAGCCUGAUCCAGCCAUGCCGCGUGUGUGAAGAAGGCCUUCGGGUUGUAAAGCACUUUCAGUGGGGAAGAAAGCCUUGGGGCUAAUACCCUCGAGGAAGGACAUCACCCACAGAAGAAGCACCGGCUAACUCCGUGCCAGCAGCCGCGGUAAUACGGAGGGUGCGGGCGUUAAUCGGAAUUACUGGGCGUAAAGCGCGCGUAGGCGGUCUGAUAAGCCGGUUGUGAAAGCCCCGGGCUCAACCUGGGAACGGCAUCCGGAACUGUCAGGCUAGAGUGCAGGAGAGGAAGGUAGAAUUCCCGGUGUAGCGGUGAAAUGCGUAGAGAUCGGGAGGAAUACCAGUGGCGAAGGCGGCCUUCUGGACUGACACUGACGCUGAGGUGCGAAAGCGUGGGUAGCAAACAGGAUUAGAUACCCUUGUAGUC
rnacentral:rRNA from 1 species